rnacentral:rRNA from 1 species
ACUCAAAGGAAUAGACGGGGGCCCGCACAAGCGGCGGAGCAUGCGGAUUAAUUCGAUGCAACGCGAAGAACCUUACCAAGGCUUGACAUGGGGUGAAAACUCGCAGAGAUGCGGGGUCCGCAAGGGCGCCUCACAGGUGGUGCAUGGUUGUCGUCAGCUCGUGUCGUGAGAUGUUGGGUUAAGUCCCGCAACGAGCGCAACCCUCGUUCUAUGUUGCCAGCACGUUAUGGUGGGGACUCAUAGGAGACUGCCGGGGUCAACUCGGAGGAAGGUGGGGACGACGUCAAAUCAUCAUGCCCCUUAUGUCUUGGGCUUCACGCAUGCUACAAUGGCCAGUACAAAGGGCUGCGAGACCGUAAGGUGGAGCGAAUCCCAAAAAGCUGGUCUCAGUUCGGAUCGGGGUCUGCAACUCGACCCCGUGAAGUCGGAGUCGCUAGUAAUCGCAGAUCAGCAACGCUGCGGUGAAUACGUUCCCGGGCCUUGCACACACCGCCCGU